AAUCAACGCUGGCGGCGUGCCUAACACAUGCAAGUCGAACGCGAAAGUGGAGCAAUCCAUGAGUAGAGUGGCGAACGGGUGAGUAACACGUGAACAAUCUACCCUCGAGUGGGGAAUAACACCGCGAAAGCGGUGCUAAUACCGCAUAACAUCUCCGGGUCGCAUGACCUGGAGAUCAAAAGCGCAAGUUGCUCGAGGAGGAGUUCGCGCCUGAUUAGCUAGUUGGUGAGGUAACGGCCCACCAAGGCAACGAUCAGUAGCCGGCCUGAGAGGGCGAACGGCCACACUGGAACUGAGACACGGUCCAGACUCCUACGGGAGGCAGCAGUGGGGAACUUUGCGCAAUGGGCGAAAGCCUGACGCAGCAACGCCGCGUGGAGGAUGAAGGCCUUCGGGUCGUAAACUCCUGUCAGUGGGGACGAAUGCUUCGCAAGAAGUUUGACUGUACCCGCUGAGGAAGCCACGGCUAACUCCGUGCCAG
rnacentral:rRNA from 1 species